rnacentral:lncRNA from 1 species
CCCUCAGUGAGCAGCACACUCCAAUUUCCAGGCCCUAAGGACCCCACGCUAAGGAGGAAGCCGACGGCUCUGACCUCUUCGUGGAAAAUAUUCCAUGUCAAACUCAACAAGCAUUUUCACGGGGGCGGGGGGAACAUAAAUGGAAGAUUAGCAAUGACACCUGGACACAUAAAAAGUGCCCUCUUGUCCCAGAGAUAAUUUAUGCAUUUAUUCUUUCUUUCCCAAAAUAAUGUUAGAAUAGAAUUUUGACCACAUACAUAAUGCUCUCUGAUAUCUGAGGCAGGAAUAUCUUGAUAAAUAGCAACAAUCUGAUCAGCGUGGUCCAUGUCUGACAUGGUACGGAGGGAGGAUACUGGCUGGGACCUACUUUCUCACUCUCCUUCUGUGAAACACAGGAUCUUCCAGACAAAUACUGCCUGAUGUGACAGCUUAUUAUAAAUGUCUCGCUGCCCCCAUCUUAUCCAAGUUAGGACACUUAGGUAUUAAAAUACUUUUAACUUAAAAUUCUACCAAUGACAAAAAUGAAGCAAUCGCCAAUUCCAGCUGUUUUUUCCUUAUUAUUCAGAAAGUGUCAUUUUGGAGAGUUCCUCCUGUUUUUGUCACUGCUGUUUGUGUGUGUUGGGGGCAGAUCUGAGAGCACCUUGAGGGCAGAGGGGGUAUCACUACUGUUUGAAAUGUCCUGCCUGGCUGGGCUGCUGGCUGGUCUUGUCAUGUUCUCUGAGGGUGAAAAUGGGGUUGAAUCUGCAGCAGGCUAAGAACAGACCUCGGUUUCGGAAGCGAGUCUCAUUCUACUCCACUCAAGGGUGGUUCUUGUGGCGUGGAAGGACACUGAUAUGUCAUUAUCUUUUGUCUCAAACUCCCAAAACAGAAAACAUUUUCAGGAGAGAAACGAGACAAUUUUGGCCAAAUUGUAGCAAAUGCUUGGUAAACACGUAGAUGUCUGAGUGCAGAGAGCAGACCGUGGCCUUCCGGAGAGUGGCCCACCUGCCUGGGCAUCACACUAAGCAUGAAAACCCUGCUUUGGCUACCUGCUCUGACCUCAAAGUCUAUUUUUCAGAGUUGAAGACGAGCAACUUUUCUUUCCAGAGGUUCCAGUCCAUGGCUUCUAGAGCCAUGGAGAGAGGUGAACUCCACCGUUUCCGUGUCUGCAUGCAGGGAGAGUAGCCAGGAAUUCCGCAACAGGAGCUUCUAGAGCCUGAAGAUGAAAUUUCUCCCAGAGGCGACCUGCUGGUAGAGACCUACAGGGGAUUCUGGAGCCUAGGAGCAUGCGAUGGCCUUCCCAACAGGAGUGAGGUAAACAGGAGACAGGAGCAGCUCAACAGCAGGAUCAAGCCUGAGUGACGGUGGCCAAGCGACACGGCCCAGAAGUCUGGAAUCAUUUAAAAUAAAGGGGCGUUUGCUGACACCACAGAAAAUGCCAGGGCUUGCAGUCACUCUUCACAUUGCCCUUCUGGCCCUGUAAGUACCCUGGGCCCUUCCCAAAACAGCCCAGGAGCUGGAAGCUUCCUUCCACUU